rnacentral:rRNA from 1 species
GACGAACCGUGCGAACGUUGUUCGGAAUCACUGGGCUUAAAGGGCGCGUAGGCGGGCUGCCGCGUCCGGGGUGAAAUCCCACGGCUCAACCGUGGAACGGCCUCGGAUACGGGCGGCCUCGAGGGGGGUAGGGGCAUCUGGAACUGUGAGUGGAGCGGUGAAAUGCGUUGAUAUUCACAGGAACCCCGGUGGCGAAGGCGAGGUGCUGGACCCCUUCUGACGCUGAGGCGCGAAAGCCAGGGGAGCGAACGGG